AAUGGUUUAACCAGAAAAAAUCUAACAAAGAGAACUUUAGCUAGAUACCCCGAAACCAGACGAGCUACCUAUGAGCAGUUUAAAAGAACCAACUCAUCUAUGUG
rnacentral:rRNA from 1 species